rnacentral:rRNA from 1 species
UACGAAGGGAGCUAGCGUUGUUCGGAAUCACUGGGCGUAAAGCGCACGUAGGCGGAUUUGUCAGUCAGGGGUGAAAUCCCGGGGCUCAACCUCGGAACUGCCUUUGUGACUGCAAGGCUUGAGUGCGGCAGAGGGGGAUGGAAUUCCGCGUGUAGCAGUGAAAUGCGUAGAUAUGCGGAGGAACACCGAUGGCGAAGGCAAUCCCCUGGGCCUGCACUGACGCUCAUGCACGAAAGCGUGGGGAGCAAACAGG